UUCCCCGGAGACCCCCUCCUCUGUCAGCCGCUCUGCUCUGUGCCAGGAGGCAGCCAUCAGGGGCAGCUCUGAGCUGUGCUGGGAGGGAGACGGGAGCUAGGAGUGACAGGCACCAUCUGUCAGUGUCAGGACAGUCUACAGAUGGAAGGCAGGCGAGCCAAGGGAAACCUGGGCCCUCAGUAGAGCAGAGAGUGGGGAGAGGAAUGGAAAGAGACAGCAGCAAUGAGAGGAGGAACAAAGCGUAGGAAGCAUAACACAUCCCAUAAGGAAGAACGAAAGGCAAAUGGGAAACAGAAAAUUGGGGGGUGGGGGGAUCUCUAUCCACAAAGGGCAGGAGUGUGCUGAAGGGGUAGAGGCACUGACAUGAAUAUAGGGCCUUUGAGACUGCUUCUGAAAAUAUCAAAACCAGGGCAAGAAGUGAAGGAAUAACACCGCAGCAGCACAGCUGGAACGCAGACCUCGGGAGAGGGAGUUUUCCAAACUGCUGGAAAACUUUAAAUGCUGCAUAAUAAAUAACAUUUGCAGUACGACGUGGACAAGAGCGAUCCAUACUAAGGUCAAACCCAAAUGGGAUUGUCCAGAUGUCCCCAUGAGUAGCCAUGUGUGGAUAACGGCGGUGACACUUAUGGAUUAUGUGUCAGGGAACAUUUCCUCACCAACCUGCAGCUGCUUGUCCAUCACACAGAGAAAUGUUUCGGAGGUCACCACUGGUCUCGCCAAAGAUUCUCUCCUAGGCCCCUAUCAACGUGAUGGCACUGGCUGUAACCCUUUGUUGUUAUUUGUGGGCACUGGCAUGCAAUAUGGUAAAGUACAACAAGGAUUUUGGUUAGAACCAAAUAGAACCAGGACAGGAAAGAUUUGGGGCCUUAAUUAUUCAGCAAUAUGAAAUGGAACUAACAGGAUCCAAUUAAAAUUCUGGUUCAGGCACCCCAUUAUACCUGAUGGUA